UACGAAGGGUGCAAGCGUUACUCGGAAUUACUGGGCGUAAAGCGUGCGUAGGUGGUUUGUUAAGUCUGUUGUGAAAGCCCCGGGCUCAACCUGGGAAUGGCAAUGGAUACUGGCAAGCUAGAGUGCGGUAGAGGGUAGUGGAAUUCCCGGUGUAGCGGUGAAAUGCGUAGAGAUCGGGAGGAACACCUGUGGCGAAAGCGGCUCACUGGACCAUUACUGACGCUGAGGCACGAAAGCGUGGGGAUCAAACAGG
rnacentral:rRNA from 1 species